CGGGGCGUGGCGCAGCUUGGUAGCGCACCUGCUUUGGGAGCAGGGGGUCGCCGGUUCAAAUCCGGCCGCCCCGA
rnacentral:tRNA from 1 species